rnacentral:misc_RNA from 1 species
AAUAAUUACUAGUUUUUGUAUAUCUUGUUUCUCCAUUAUUAAUGGCUCCCAAAACACCUUCUUCUCUUCCUCUUUAUGAAAUUAAUUAUAGAAAAAACUAUAUAUCAAGAGGAAUAGAACUCUUUAUUCUUUUCCUUUUGUUCUCACUUUUGGCCUAUAGAUUCCUCACUCUAAAAUUUCAUGGUUUACAAUGGCUCUUGUCUCUUAUAUGUGAAU